UACGAAGGGUGCAAGCGUUGCUCGGAAUCACUGGGCGUAAAGAGCACGUAGGUGGGUUCGUAAGUCGAUUGUGAAAGCCCAGGGCUUAACCUUGGAAUUGCAGUCGAUACUGCGAAUCUUGAGUUCUUGAGAGGGUGGGGGAAUUCCUGGUGUAGAAGUGAAAUUCGUAGAUAUCAGGAGGAACACCGGAGGCGAAGGCGCCUGCCUGGCGAGACACUGACGCUGAGGUGCGAAAGCGCGGGGAUCAAACAG
rnacentral:rRNA from 1 species